rnacentral:rRNA from 1 species
AGUGGCGAACGGGUGCGUAACACGUGAGCAAUCUGCCUCAAAGCCGGGGAUAACCUUCCUAACGGGGGGCUAAUACCGGAUGUGUUUACCGGAUGGCAUCGUCUGGUGAAUAAAGAUGGCGUGCUGAACGCUAUCACUUUGAGAUGAGCUCGCGGCCUAUUAGCUAGUUGGUGAGGUAACGGCCCACCAAGGCAACGAUGGGUAGCCGGCCUGAGAGGGUGACCGGCCACAUUGGGACUGAGAUACGGCCCAGACUCCUACGGGAGGCAGCAGUAGGGAAUAUUGCGCAAUGGGCGAAAGCCUGACGCAGCAACACCGUGUGAGCGAUGAAGGCCUUCGGGUCGUAAAGCUCUGUCAGGUGGGAAGAAACCCGGUUGGUAGAGAAUACCGGCCGGCUGACGGUACCACCAGAGGAAGCUCCGGCUAACUCCGUGCCAGCAGCCGCGGUAAUACGGAGGGAGCGAGCGUUGUUCGGAAUUACUGGGCGUAAAGGGCGCGCAGGCGGUUUGGUAAGUCAGAUGUGAAAUUCACCGGCUCAACCGGUCGAACUGCAUCCGAUACUGCCAGACUUGAGAUCAGUAGAGGAGAGUGGAAUUCCCAGUGUAGCGGUGGAAUGCGUAGAUAUUGGGAAGAACACCGGUGGCGAAGGCGGCUCUCUGGACUGAUUCUGACGCUGAGGCGCGAAAGCUAGGGGAGCGAACAGGAUUAGAUACCCUGGUAGUCCUAGCCGUAAACGAUGGGUACUAGGUGUUGGGGGUUUCCAUGCCUCCAGUGCCGAAGCUAACGCAUUAA